UGGGGAAUUUUGGACAAUGGGCGAAAGCCUGAUCCAGCCAUGCCGCGUGCAGGAUGAAGGCCUUCGGGUUGUAAACUGCUUUUGUACGGAACGAAAAGACUCUUUCUAAUAAAGAGGGUCCAUGACGGUACCGUAAGAAUAAGCACCGGCUAACUACGUGCCAGCAGCCGCGGUAAUACGUAGGGUGCGAGCGUUAAUCGGAAUUACUGGGCGUAAAGCGUGCGCAGGCGGUUAUGCAAGACAGAUGUGAAAUCCCCGGGCUCAACCUGGGAACUGCAUUUGUGACUGCAUAGCUAGAGUACGGUAGAGGGGGAUGGAAUUCCGCGUGUAGCAGUGAAAUGCGUAGAUAUGCGGAGGAACACCGAUGGCGAAGGCAAUCCCCUGGACCUGUACUGACGCUCAUGCACGAAAGCGUGGGGAGCAAACAGG
rnacentral:rRNA from 1 species